UCCAUGGUCAUGUUCUGUGUGUCUCUGC
rnacentral:piRNA from 1 species